rnacentral:misc_RNA from 1 species
GAACGCACAUUGCGCCCCGUGGUAUUCCGCGGGGCAUGCCUGUUCGAGCGUCAUUUAAACCAAUCCAGCUUGCUGGGUCUUGGGCUCUCGCCUCCGGGCGGGCCUAAAAAUCAGUGGCGGCGCCAUCCGGCUCUACGCGCAGUACAUCUCCUCGCUACAGAGCUCCGGGUGGAGGCUGGCCAACCAACCCCCCAUUCUAUAAGGUUGACCUCGGAUCAGGUAGGGAUACCCGCUGAACUUAAG